UCGUACCUUUGCUAGAAAGUGUAGUUUGAUGCUUUACAGUUGUGCAGCUCUGCGAGGUGAUGCACAGAUGUCACCUGUUGACAAGUCUUUUCGUAGCUUGCACACAGUUAAAGGAAAGCUUUUGCAUGGCUGCUUUACGGUUAUAUCAUCGUGCGAGUUUUGAGUGUACCAGGAGUCAGGACAGCACCUACCACCACUUGCGGCGCAAUGAGGACAUUAAGUUGUUUCAUCCUCAUCUUGCUUGAGCAGCUCAUAUGCUCAUUUGCGACUUUGUCAACACCAGAUGACUUAAUUUCAUCCCUUCGGACUGUGUACCGCCCUUUCGACCUAUUCCGCAGCUUUCAAGUCUUAAGGAGAUCAGCUAUAGGUAUGAUGUUAGGAAGAUUGCCAAUUCAUGGAUAUUGAAAAAUAGGAGCUGUCUACAACCAGAAUCUGAAUCAGAAACAUGGCCAUUCCUAACAAAUGAAAAUAAUAAUCAAGAUACUUUAUUUCUGCUGCAGUGAUAGUAGUAACAUUUUUUGCACAUUGUAGUAUAUACUGAAAACAUCUCGUUUAUGGAAUGGAGAAACAAGGUAAUAAACUGCUCUAUGAGUACAGUGCUAGCAAAGGAUGCAAGUAGACCACUAAUGCAUAGAAAGUCAUUUAUACACUUAUAUGCAAACUCUCAUGUAUUUUUACGACUUAAAGAAAAACUAAAUUUCCCCUUUAAGUUGGGCUGAGCUAGACACAUGCAAUACUAUUGUCAUGCUAUCUUAUUAUGUCUUAUAAAUCUGGCUUUCAACAAAACCUUAAAAAUGUACUUAGUCAUGGAGUCAGAGCUAAAAAUAUCAUUACUAUAAAAAUUUAUGGAAAUCGACACAAUCCUUACAAAGACACCUGUAAUUAUGCUUAUUUAGCAAUAAGAAUAAAAAUAUAUCAAAAGUAUUGCUGGCAUGAAUAUCUUGUUCCUUGUUUUCAUGAAAAUAGCUAUCAAAACGAAGAAGGUAAUGAUACUAGUUUACUAAGCAACAUUCUGAAUAUGAAAUCAACAAUUCUACAAUUAUAAAUCUUUUUCACACAUGCAAACU